CAGGGGUUAGUUUAUUUAAAACUUCGGUUUUGGGUACCGAGGAUAGAAAAAGCUUUUCUACCCCUGA
rnacentral:tRNA from 1 species